rnacentral:rRNA from 1 species
AACGAACGCUGGCGGCAUGCCUAACACAUGCAAGUCGAACGAGACCUUCGGGUCUAGUGGCGCACGGGUGCGUAACGCGUGGGAACCUGCCUUUAGGUUCGGAAUAACUCAGAGAAAUUUGAGCUAAUACCGGAUGAUGUCUUCGGACCAAAGAUUUAUCGCCUUUAGAUGGGCCCGCGUUGGAUUAGCUAGUUGGUGGGGUAAAGGCCUACCAAGGGGACGAUCCAUAGCUGGUCUGAGAGGAUGAUCAGCCACACUGGGACUGAGACACGGCCCAGACUCCUACGGGAGGCAGCAGUGGGGAAUAUUGGACAAUGGGCGAAAGCCUGAUCCAGCAAUGCCGCGUGAGUGAUGAAGGCCUUAGGGUUGUAAAGCUCUUUUACCCGAGAUGAUAAUGACAGUAUCGGGAGAAUAAGCUCCGGCUAACUCCGUG